UGACCCUUUAAACCAGUCCCGUGAGACUGAAAAGGAAUUCGGACUUUUUAUGGAUACGUCUGUCCAAAUCCCCUUUCGUCUUCGGAUGAAAGGGGAUUUUUUUU
rfam:Pontibacillus halophilus JSM 076056 = DSM 19796 strain JSM 076056 contig4, whole genome shotgun sequence.